rnacentral:rRNA from 1 species
UACGAAGGGGGCUAGCGUUGCUCGGAAUCGCUGGGCGUAAAGCGCACGUAGGCGGAUCUUUAAGUCAGGGGUGAAAUCCUGGAGCUCAACUCCAGAACUGCCUUUGAUACUGGGGAUCUCGAGUCCGGAAGAGGUGAGUGGAACUCCGAGUGUAGAGGUGAAAUUCGUAGAUAUUCGGAAGAACACCAGUGGCGAAGGCGGCUCACUGGUCCGGUACUGACGCUGAGGUGCGAAAGCGUGGGGAGCAAACAGG